rnacentral:ncRNA from 1 species
CUAAUACAUCAAGAGAGAGAUUAAGUUCUCCUCCAACCUGCCAACUCCGGCAAGGUGGAAAAAAUGAUGUGGUUAACCAACAAACAUAGGAGUACAA